CCCUGGUUAGCUUAGUUGGUAGAGCGCUCCACUGGAAAUGGGGAGGUCCCGUGUUUGAUACCCGGACCAGGCG
rfam:Ixodes scapularis strain Wikel colony gcontig_1107729112868, whole genome shotgun sequence.